UUGAGAAUCCUCCUGUGUGAUACAAUAAGUCGUUGCUCAAGUUGCAGCCGCCUAAAAAACUGAUAAACUACAAGGACCAAGAUGCACCUUUAUAUUUUUUACCUAGAUGCACCCCCUUCAGGCAUGUACCAGGAAUAAUGACGUCACAGGUGGUGCACACAUUUCGGACAGUAGGCGGUGGUCAAACAUUUGACAUUGCUAAACGUUAUCUCCCAGGAAGGUAAAAGUGAAGCUAGCUACUCUGAGUCCAUUCAGAGGAACCACGUUUCCCAUCCUUUGGAGCUCAUUGAUGACAGCGUCAGUGUAGGGCAGGUUGGGUCUGUCAGCCAUGGUGAGUAGACGGUUCUGUCCAAUCACUCUGUCGAUCUCUUUCUGCACGUUUUCUACAAGUACACGAAAUUUUAAUUUCCAUUUUUUUCCUGUUUUUACUCAUAAGGGUGUUAUGUUUACCUUAUGUGCAUGCUUGUCUCUAUAACAAUCCUAUCACCUACUCUGGAUAAUACUGACGUCACAGGUGGUGCACACAUUUCAGACAGUAGGCGGUGGUCAAACAUUUGACAUUGCUAAAUGUUAUCUCCCAGGACAGUAAAAGUGAAGCAAUUAAAGAUUUCAGCCGUAAUCAUUUUGAAAAAGGUUAAUGUUGUUUCCCUGUAUUUUAUAAUACUAAAACUCAGAAAGUGCUUAGUCAACAAAUAUAAGCUGCUUUUAGUUUGCUAGCUUACUGGCUAAUAGUAGCUCCCUGGGCUAACAACUAAUAUUACAAGCUAAUAGUAAGUUUAGUGUAUAAUAGAGCUGCUGUUGUUGGAACCUCAAGUCCCCCCCAAGUUAUUUAAUGAGAAGAAGCACUAUGCUUUGUCAAUUAAAAUGAAUUUAUUAAAGACAAGAGCCAAAACAUACAUGAAUAAUUCAAGGCAGACGCAUGGAGCCGUGACUUCUCUCUCUUCGUACUAAGUUACAGACUGACUAACUCUACACACACACAUGAUUAUAUACUUUUCCUAUGCCUGCUGGCUAUAUGACUCUGAACAUACAUUGAAACUCAUGACACAACAUAUGAUUUCUAAUGUGCACUAAAACUGGCGAAUUAACAUAUGGUUUCUUUUACAGGACAAUGACCUCUCAAUGUUCCAUUGUCCUUCACAGGCUAUGUCACUGACAUAGCUUUUCAUAACACACACACAUCCUGCCUUCCCUAAUACAUACUGUAAGCAAGCUCCUCUCUCUACUUUAAUGCAAAAUAAUAAUACAGAAUAAAAUACACUAAUACAUGAAAUUGAGCCCACACUGUACAAGUAUAUGUGGUACAUGUAACCUAACAAUUCUCCUAAUAUUCAUUCUGUCUUAACAUUCCGGCAGGAGCUGUUCAUCCAUUUUCUGUCUGUAUACAAUAAACUGUGGCUCUUGUUUUACCCUAAUAGGAUGAACAGUCAAACAAUCCUUAAUACCUAUGGCUGAUGUGCCACACUUAAAGCUAUUUGACAUUUUUUGGCAUAAAUUAAAAGUAGACAUGUGACACAAAUUGAAAAACCAUUUAUUGCUCAUUGACCAAAGUUUAUUCAUGAUAAAUAAUCAGCGAACCUUGGCGAGAACUUUGAAUGUCUUUGGUACACGUGUCACUCCAGUAACUUCAUCUGUGCUCAGCUCUCCUCCGUCAGGAGCAGAGAAUGAAAACUUCUGUAGCAAACCAACGAAAAACAGGAACAGCUCCAUUUUGGCCAGGCCUUCUCCAAGACACGCACGUUUUCCUGGGGACGCACAUCAUGUAGGAAAACAGGAUCGAGCAUAAAUGUUUGUUCAGGUUGAAUACAAGAUUAGGGUGAAAGUUGUUUACCUGCAGAAAACGGCAGCAGAGCUUCUCUCUUAACAAACUUUCCCUCAGCAUUUAGAAAGUGCCCUGGGUUAAACGUUUCAGGAGUUUCCCAUUCGGUUUUGUCAAACAGCACUGAGGUCAGCAUGGGCAACAAGAUAGAACCCUGAAAAAACAAAACACACAGAUAAACACUAAGCAGUCCUGCAAGAAAUUAAUUUCAAAAGAACCCAGGUCAUUAAUAUUUGUUUACUUUAAAAUGGGUUUGUUAGUCUGAGUUACAUAAAUGCAAAAUGUAGAUUGUAAAUUAAACUUUAGUUGUCAUUGUUACUGGUAUCACAAUAGAUUCUGAGUAAUGGAAUCAAAUGGUUGUUUUGCCAUCUUUUCUGUUUUGAUUUGAAACAGAAACAAAAUAAACAGGAAUAAAAAGAGGGAAUACGUUCAUGUUCAGUUUGCUCCAAACCAAUAGACGAUUUUUGCAGGGAAAAAAAGUUAAGAGAGAGAGAGAGUUGUGUAUGACAUUUAGGUAUCUUUGACUAACAGUAAUCUAAAACUGCAUUUACACUAUGUUUUACUAGACAUUUUUUCUACUAGGAAUUUUGACUGAAUGCACCUUGGGUAUGAAGUAACCAUCCAGUGUUGUGUCCUUGGCAGCUACUCUGAGUCCAUUCAGAGGAACCACGUUUCCCAUCCUUUGGAGCUCAUUGAUGACAGCGUCAGUGUAGGGCAGGUUCGGUCUGUCAGCCAUGGUGGGUAGACGGUUCUGUCCAAUCACUCUGUCGAUCUCUUCCUGCACGUUUUCUACAAGUACAAAAAAUUUCAAGCAUUUUCAUUUUUUUUCCCUGUUUUCAAACAAAAGGGUGUUAACGCUAUAACAAUCCUAUCACCUACUCUGGAUAUCUGGGUUGUUGGUGAGGUAAAUCAAAGCCCACUGCAACGUGGUGGCGGUCGUCUCUGUUCCAGCCAGGAACAGAUCCAGACAGCACAGAGCCAGGUUGGACUCAGUGAAGCCCACACCAGGCUCUUUGUGCUGUACAGAGAAAGAGAGAAUGAUGACUGAAGAACAGGGGAAGAGCAGAGAUUGUACAGAUCUGUGUCUGCAGUUGUCACAUACAGUCUGCAUUUCAGUGAGGAAAGCAUCAAUGUAGUCCCGGGGAUGGCUGUGGUCCAGGUCCUUCUUGUGUCUUUCUAUCUCCUGACUGAAGAAGUCUAGAACACUGUUGUAGUUGCUGAACAUUUUGUUGUGAGGUCCUGGCAAGUGUUUCAUCAGUGCGGGGAAUGACACGUAAAGCUAUGUGGGAUAAAAAAGAUAAUGCCAGCAACUGUAUCAAUGUAUCUCUAUUAUCAUUAUGUCAAACAGUCUCAACUGUUCCUACAGUAUGAAAAUAGUCAAACUAUUGAAAUGGAUGCGACCUACUAGACCCCAUAUAGAGCCCUCUAGCCGAAGUGCCUCCGAUAUGUAUUUUAGCAUGAUCUGAAAGUUAUGGUCAUUGUAGUCGAACCGUUUCCCCAUCACCAGCUGGCAAAUGAUGUUGGACACAGCGUUGUUGAAGACGCCUGCUGGAGAAAAUGCUUGACCUGAAAUAGAGGAGUCAGCUGUUUAGAUGAGAUUGUUGCUGCUGUUUGUCUGCAACACAAGCUCGUUGUUUUCAGUAUAAAUGACCUUUCUCCUUCUCAAUCUCCUCCUGCAGGUGUCGGAUCUCCUCACAGAUGCUCUGCUCCAGGAUGCUUUUGCCCACACCAAAGGUGCGUAAGGUAGAAAGGGCGAAACGCCGGUGUCUCUUCCACAUCUCACCGUUGGUUGUAAAAAAACCACCUAAACACCAGCAUGCAGACUAAGAUUUAAUUCUUGCACAUUAUUUUUUGCAUAGCCCAUUUUUGUAGUUCAGCACAUAAUAUAAGAAAAAGAGACCGUAUAGACCUUUGUUAAACCUGUCAGCAAUUGGGCUGUGUGGUCGAUCCACAAAGUUCUCAGCUUGUGUCACUAAGGCCUCCUUCACCAUCUUGUAUCCACACACAACCACCCACCGUUCUCUGCCAAGACGGACACUGAACACGUUCCCAUAGUCCUCAGCCAGCUGAAAGUAAACACCAAAUAUUAACUAACAUAUAUUUAUUUAAAUUAAUUUGAUUUAAUGUAAAAGCUCAGUGUUUAAAGUGUAAAAAAGUUCAAAUAGCAUUUUCUUGAUUGAAUUAUAGAAAUCACUUUUCAAGGUUUAUGUAAUCCUAAACCUACAAUAACAAACAACUACAGAGUUAAGUGUAAUAAAAUGUUCUUAUUCUGUCUUGAACAUGCACGUAUGAUUAACUUUAUCUACUUUAUACUGAUAAGUUCCUUAAGAAGCCUGUGUAUCAAUCAUUACCUUAGUAUAAUAGAAGUGUGGAUGUUGAUUGUCCACACUUAAGAUAUUCCCCACAAAUGGAAGAGCCAAUGGUCCAGGAGGAUAAUGUGGAGGCUUCCUGGUGAUGAGGUAGUCUGUUAUGAGGAGAAACAGCAAAAUAAGUAGAAGAAUAAGCUUCAGGUCCAAACUGAGACAAAGAUCAGAGAGCCACAUGUUUGAAGAGUCAAGCGAAUGUUUGGGUCAGUCAGGAUUCCACUAAAAUCUUCUCCUUUUAUACACAACACCCUGGUUGCGUAAUACAUAUUCAGCUUGUGUUAACUGUUUAGUGUCCUACAUAUUGACUACUGGUAAAACAGGACAAACAGCUUUGAGAGAAAGAGUAGGCGGGUGUGGACAAAGGUCCUCAAGACAUUUAUUGCAGCUAUAACCAUGACAACCUUGACAAUAAAGACCUUUGUAGAAGUUCGGCCUUCUUACGUAAAUAUUGGAUUUUUACUCCUACAGCCUCAAGUUGUGUGCCUCUGUCACAGUAUUUAGGAAUUCAUGUGAUCUUCGGUUUACUAAAAUGAGCAUGAAGUAGAAAAAAAUAGAUUUCUAACCAAGAAUACACUUAUAGUAAACUAACUCAGCUCGGUGAAAUGAUAACAUGAAAAACACUAGUGACAUUCAGUGAAUGUAGAUAUAAUUUGUUAAUAACUUUAAAUGUAGCAAAGGCAAUAAAACAGUUCCCAUAAAAACAUAUCCCACAUAUUUUUUAUGUACCUUCAAACAUUGUGUGCAAUGUAAUGUACUGUUACACAUUUACAGACAGGUCUGUGAGGCUUUUGAUUUUACAAAAAAACCCUAAGAUGGUUACAAUAAAUGGAAUGCAUUUAUUGCAAACUGUUUGGGAGAAAAUAUGACCAAACUGUUAAAGCUUCUGCCUCAUCAUUGCAACACAAGAUGAUGAGUGUCAGAGCUCCCCCUUGUGGUUAUACUGUAUUUUCGACUCAUUUGUGAAAACUAUGUACAGUAGAUGUAAAACUGAGUAAAGUAUUUAUGACAAUAUAAACAUACAUUUUAUUGAUGGUUGUACUGUAGCUCGCAGACAGCAACGUGUAUUUGUGCAAACAAAAUGUAGGGCAUUUCCAGCCUUUACGACAAUCUAUCUUAGGUGUAAAUACACAGAAAGUAAAAGUAUAACAUAGCAGCACUGUAUUUUAUGGAUAACCAAAUUAACUUAACCUCUUAACUCUGGAGCAUUCACCGUAUUAUCACCUAAUAAAGGAGUACUCACAUUUUAAGGACUAACUGCUAAAAAAUCUUAAACUAUACUGUAAAAGUACACAGAUCAGUAGUAGACUCUUUGGUAGACCUUCUCUAAAACACAGAAAUACUAGUCUGCAUCUGACAUUUUGCACCAAAGUCUUGUUACAUUAUUAAUAGACAUGACCAGAAAAUCUGCAGAGUUUUGUUGCUUACAAGUAGCAAUAUAAGGUCUGAGGGCAAAUUAUCACACUGUGACACUAUGUAAACAUAUUGAAGCUAAACAAAUACUACGUUCUACAUGUCUAUUAUUAUACGCAUCACUGAUGUCACCUUAUUAGCAUUAAGAUUUUAAAUGUGGAUUCUGGUAAACUGGUUUGUUGGGAAAACUGGCAGCAGAUUAAAAAUGUCUGCUGUCUUUUGGGUCUGACUGCAGGAGGUAAAAAGCUCAGCGAGCCUUAGCGUAGAUGUGAAAGGGGAACGGCGUCCGUGUGGCUCCUAUGAUUCCCUCUGUUCUCAGCUCCACUCCGUCCACCGUGGAAAAACAGAACCUCUGGAACAAACCCACAAAAAACAAAAAGAGCUCCAUUCUGGCCAGGCCCUCUCCCAGACACGCACGCUUCCCUGUGGCACAGCAACACAACUCUCACUGUUCACCCACUGUCACGCAGUUAAUGUUUUAUUAUUCAGGGGAAUGUGACGUUCACCUGCAGAGAAAGGCAGAAAUGCUUCUCUCCUCACAAACCUGCCCUCAGCAUCCAGGAAGUGUCCGGGGUUGAAGGUGUCUGGAGUCUCCCAUUCAGUCGGGUCAAACAGCACCGAGGUCAGGUUGGGCAUCACAGACGUUCCCUGCACAAACCAAAGGCAAACCGUCAAAUGUCCUUUAUGCACAAAUAGAAAAAGUUCUUUAUAAUUAAAACAUACAGAUCGGUGUGUAUUAUACAAAUGGAUCAUAUAUAACUGGUUAACGUGGAUGAGUCAGUGAAAGAACCAGGUUUUAUAAAUGGCAUGGUUUAAUAACAGAGUCUAUGCUGAUCUGCAUCAAUGGAAUGAAACAUGUGGAAAGGAUUUGACAACAUCCACAAUAAAUGUAUCUGUAUCGAAGUCAUUCUUAUUCACUUAAAUUUGCAUGGCAGAAUAUUUCUCUUUCUUGACUUUAGGUCUUCACUGCAUGUCUGCUCUUUUGUAAACUGCUGGCUGCUGUGUGGAUGCACCUUGGGUAUGAAGUAACCAUCCAGCGUUGUGCCCUUGGCAGCUACUCUGAGUCCAUUCAGAGGAACGAUGUUUCCCAUCCUCUGGACCUCAUGGAUGACAGCGUCAGUGUAGGGCAGGUUGGGUCUGUCAGCCAUGGUGGGUAGACGGUUCUGUCCAAUCACUCUGUCGAUCUCUGCCUGGAUGUUUUCUACAAGUACAAGUGAUGCAACGGGUAAAUUUUGUAUCUGUUUCCAAACAUAAGUGUGUUAUGUUUACCUUAAGUGCAUGUUUCUCACUAUAACAAUCCUAUCACCUACUCUGGAUAUCUGGGUUGUUGAUGAGGUAAAUCAAAGCCCACUGCAACGUGGUGGCGGUCGUCUCUGUUCCAGCCAGGAACAGAUCCAGACAGCACAGAGCCAGGUUGGACUCAGUGAAACUCACACCAGGCUCUUUGUGCUGUACAGAGAAAGAUGUGUGAUGAAUGAAGAACAGGGGAAGAGCAGAGAUUGUACAGAUCUGUGUCUGCAGUGGUCACAUACAGUCUGCAUUUCAGUGAGGAAAGCAUCGAUGUAGUUUCUGAAGAAGUCUAGAACACUGUUGUAGUUGCUGAACAUUUUGUUGUGAGGUCCUGGCAAGUGUUUCAUCAGUGCGGGGAAUGACACGUAAAGCUAUGUGGGAUAAAAAAGAUAAUGCCAGCAACUGUAUCAAUGUAUCUCUAUUAUCAUUAUGUCAAACAGUCUCAACUGUUCCUACAGUAUGAAAAUAGUCAAACUAUUGAAAUGGAUGCGACCUACUAGACCCCAUAUAGAGCCCUCUAGCCGAAGUGCCUCCGAUAUGUAUUUUAGCAUGAUCUGAAAGUUAUGGUCAUUGUAGUCGAACCGUUUCCCCUUUGUGCUGUACAGAGAAAGAUGUGUGAUGAAUGAAGAACAGGGGAAGAGCAGAGAUUGUACAGAUCUGUGUCUGCAGUGGUCACAUACAGUCUGCAUUUCAGUGAGGAAAGCAUCGAUGUAGUCCCGGGGAUGGCUGUGGUCCAGGUCCUUCUUGUGUCUCUCUAUCUCCUGACUGAAGAAGUCUAGAACACUGUUGUAGCUGCUGAAGAUUUUGUUGUGAGGACCUGGUAAGUGUUUCAUCACUGCGGGGAAUGACAGAUAAAGCUAUGUGGGAUAAAAAAGAUAAUGCCAGCAACUGUAUCAAUGUAUCUCUAUUAUCAUUAUGUCAAACAGGCUCAACUGUUCCUACAGUAUGAAACUGGUUAAACUAUUGAAAUGGAUGCGACCUACUAGACCCCAUAUAGAGCCCUCUAGCCGAAGUGCCUCCGAUAUGUAUUUUAGCAUGAUCUGAAAGUUAUAGUCAUUGUAGUCGAACCGUUUUCCCAUCACCAGCUGGCAAAUGAUGUUGGACACAGCGUUGUUGAAGACGCCUGCUGGAGAAAAUGCUUGACCUGAAAUAGAGGAGUCAGCUGUUUAGAUGAGAUUGUUGCUGCUGUUUAUCUGCAACACAAGCUCGUUGUUUUCAGUAUAAAUGGCCUUUCUCCUUCUCAAUCUCCUCCUGCAGGUGUCGGAUCUCCUCACAGAUGCUCUGCUCCAGGUUUCUUUUGCCCACACCAAAGGUGCGUAAGGUAGAAAGGGCGAAACGCCGCUGUCUCUUCCACAUCUCACCGUUGGUUGUAAAAAAAACACCUAAACGCCAGCAUGCAGACUAAGAUUUAAUUAUUACACCAUAGUAUUUGCAUAGUUCAUUUUUGUAGCUCAGCACAUAAUAUAAGAAACCCUUGGCAAAAAUGUAGUAGUACAGUACAGAAGUGUAGUAGUACAUACAAGUACACUAUUUGUAUACAUGUUUUAAUCUAAAAAGGAAAAAGUAUUCUUAACUUUUAUUCACAUAUAAAUUAAGAUAUACCAAACCAAAGUAUAUUUAAGUGACAAAGCAUACUUGGUUUCUACUUACAAGUAUGAAAAAGGUGUGUUGUAAUUACACGCAAGUAUACUUGACUUAAACUGACAAGUAUACACAAAAGUCUACAUAUGUCAGGUUAAUGAGUUAUGAGUGUCACGUCUUGGUUUAACUUUCGCUUUUAUGUUGAAAGGACUUCCUGCUAAACGUCAUAUCACAGCUGUUCCCUGCCAGUACCGGUUCUCAUUACCCACACCUGCAGCUCAUCUGUAAUCAGUUCACCUAGCAUUUAAGCACCACCUCUCACCCCAGUACCUUGCCAGAUUGUUGCGCGUUAUUCACCACUUUCCAGCGUUCUCUAGCCUAGUCUAGUCGUCUAUUGUGAACCAUUGUAUUGUGUUUUGACCACCGACGCCGAGCCUGUCUAGUCCCUGUCUGCAUUUGUAUGCCUUGGUCUUUUGAUCCUGCCUGAUACCGACCUUGCCUGCUUGCCUGACCACCAUCUUACGCCUGACGGAACGGUAUUGUAGUCCAGAAUCUUGUGUACGAACCUUGCCUGUCCCUGACGCUGAUUUUGCCUGAUCCUGUAUAACCACGUAUUGAUCUCCUGUAUAUGACCCUGCCUGAUCUGGACCCUGUGUUCUGGAAUAAACUCUCAUUUAUCAUCUUCAA